CCUACGGGUGGCAGCAGUGGGGAAUAUUGCACAAUGGGGGAAACCCUGAUGCAGCGACGCCGCGUGAGUGAAGAAGUAUUUCGGUAUGUAAAGCUCUAUCAGCAGGGAAGAAAAAGACGGGACCUUGUCAAAAAGCCCCCGCUAACUACGUGCCAGCAGCCGCGGUCAUACGUAGGGGGCAAGCGUUAUCCGGAUUUACUGGGUGUAAAGGGAGCGUAGACGGUAGGGCAAGUCUGGAGUGAAAUGCCUGGGCUUAACCCCGGAACUGCUUUGGAAACUGUGCAGCUAGAGUGCAGGAGAGGUAAGUGGAAUUCCUAGUGUAGCGGUGAAAUGCGUAGAUAUUAGGAGGAACACCAGUGGCGAAGGCGGCUUACUGGACUGUAACUGACGUUGAGGCUCGAAAGCGUGGGGAGCAAACAGGAUUAGAUACCCGUGUAGUC
rnacentral:rRNA from 1 species